UGGGGUAUAGCCAAGUGGAAAGGCAUUAGCUUCUGGUGCUAAGAUCGUAGGUUCGAAUCCUGCUACCCCAG
rnacentral:tRNA from 1 species